rnacentral:rRNA from 1 species
UACGAAGGGGGCUAGCGUUGCUCGGAAUCACUGGGCGUAAAGCGCGCGCAGGCGGUCCUUUAAGUCUGAUGUGAAAGCCCACGGCUUAACCGUGGAGGGUCAUUGGAAACUGGAGGACUUGAGUACAGAAGAGGAGAGUGGAAUUCCACGUGGAGCGGUGAAAUGCGUAGAGAUGUGGAGGAACACCAGUGGCGAAGGCGGCUCUCUGGGACGGUACUGACGCUGAGACGCGAAAGCGUGGGGAGCAAACAGG